UACGAAGGGGACUAGCGUUGUUCGGAUUUACUGGGCGUAAAGCGCGCGUAGGCGGAUCGCUAAGUCAGGGGUGAAAGCCCACGGCUCAACCGUGGAAGGUCAUUGGAAACUGGAGGACUUGAGUACAGAAGAGGAAAGCGGAAUUCCACGUGUAGCGGUGAAAUGCGUAGAGAUGUGGAGGAACACCAAUGGCGAAGGCGGCUUUCUGGUCUGUAACUGACGCUGAGGCGCGAAAGCGUGGGGAGCAAACAGG
rnacentral:rRNA from 1 species